GACGAACGCUGGCGGCGUGCCUAAUACAUGCAAGUAGAACGCACAGUUUAUACCGUAGCUUGCUACACCAUAGACUGUGAGUUGCGAACGGGUGAGUAACGCGUAGGUAACCUGCCUGGUAGCGGGGGAUAACUAUUGGAAACGAUAGCUAAUACCGCAUAAUAUUGAUUAUUGCAUGAUAAUUAAUUGAAAGGUGCAAUUGCACCACGACCAGAUGGACCUUCGGUGGAUUAGCUAGUAGGUGAGGUAACGGCUCACCUAGGCGACGAUACAUAGCCGAACGGAGAGGGUGAGCGGCCAGACUGGGACGGAGACACGGCCCAGAGUCCUAGGGGAGGCGGCAGUAGGGAAUCUUGGGCAAGGGACGAAAGUCUGACCGCGAAACGCCGAGUGAGGGAGGAGGGUUUUCGGGUCGUAAAGCUCUGUUGUAAGAGAAGAACGGGUGUGAGAGUGGAAAGUUCACACUGUGACGGUAUCUUACAAGAAAGGGACGGCUAACUACGUG
rnacentral:rRNA from 1 species